AUGCAUGUNUAAGUAUAAGCAAUUUAUACGGGCGGAACUGCGAAUGGCUCAUUAAAUCAGUUAUCGUUUAUUURAUAGUGCNUUAUUACUUGGAUAACCGUGGUAAUUCUAGAGGUAAUACAUGCUARCGAAUCCCGACUCACGGAGGGAUGUCUUUAUUAGAUURAAAACCRAUGCCCCUCRGGGCUUUUCGGUGAUUCAUAAUAACUUCUSGAAUCGCAUGGCCUUGCGCCGGCAAUGGUUCAUUCGAAUUUGUGCCCUAUCAGCUUUCGAUGGCAGGGGCGUGUGCCUGCCAUGGUURCAACRGGUAGCGUAGGGUUAGGGCUCGACCCCGGAGAAGGAGCCUGAGARACGGCUACUACAUCCAAGGAAGGCAGCAGGCGCUGCAAAUUACCCAAUCCCGACACGGGNAGGUAGUGACAAUAAAUACUGAUACAGGGCUCUUUCGGGUCUUGUAAUUGGAAUGAGUACAAUUUAAAUCCCUUAACGAGGUAACAAUUGGAGGGCAAGUYUGGUGCCAGCAGCCGCGGUNAUUCCAGCUCCAAUAGCGUAUAUUAAAGCUGUUGCAGUUAAAAAGCUCGUANNUGAACCUUGGGCCUGGCUGGCCGGUCCGCCUNACCGUGUGCACUGGUUCGGUCGGGCCUUUCCCUAUGGGGAGCCCUAUGCCCUUCACUGGGNGUANUGGGGAACCAGGACUUUUACUGCGAAAAAAUCANAGUGUYCAAAGCAGGCCGUAUGCUCGAAUACAUNAGCAUGGAAUAAUACAAUANGACGCGUGGAUNUAUUNNGCUGGUUCCUAGGACCGCCGCAAUGAUUAAUAGGGACAGCCGGNGGCAUUACCAUNAAUCGUUANAGGNGAAAUUCUUGGAUNUAUUGAAGACUAACUACUGCNAAAGCAUUUGNCAAGGAUGUUUUUAUUAAUNNCGAACGAAAGNNAGGGGAUCGAACNCCAUCAGAUCUCGUNCGUANC
rnacentral:rRNA from 1 species